UACGGAGGGUGCGAGCGUUAUCCGGAAUUACUGGGUUUAAAGGGUGCGUAGGCGGCUUUGUAAGUCAGGAGUGAAAGUUUGCGGCUCAACCGUAAAAUUGCUUCUGAUACUGCAUGGCUAGAAUUAGGAUGAGGUCAGCGGAAUGUGGCAUGUAGCGGUGAAAUGCAUAGAUAUGCCAUAGAACACCAAUUGCGAAGGCAGCUGGCUAGACCUGGAUUGACGCUGAGGCACGAAAGCGUGGGGAGCGAACAGG
rnacentral:rRNA from 1 species